rnacentral:rRNA from 1 species
UCGAACGAGUUCUCGUUGAUGAUCGGUGCUUGCACCGAGAUUCAACAUGGAUCGAGUGGCGGACGGGUGAGUAACACGUGGGUAACCUGCCCUUAAGUGGGGGAUAACAUUUGGAAACAGAUGCUAAUACCGCAUAGAUCCAAGAACCGCAUGGUUCUUGGCUGAAAGAUGGCGUAAGCUAUCGCUUUUGGAUGGACCCGCGGCGUAUUAGCUAGUUGGUGAGGUAAUGGCUCACCAAGGCGAUGAUACGUAGCCGAACUGAGAGGUUGAUCGGCCACAUUGGGACUGAGACACGGCCCAAACUCCUACGGGAGGCAGCAGUAGGGAAUCUUCCACAAUGGACGCAAGUCUGAUGGAGCAACGCCGCGUGAGUGAAGAAGGCUUUCGGGUCGUAAAACUCUGUUGUUGGAGAAGAAUGAUCGGCAGAGUAACUGUUGUCGGCGUGACGGUAUCCAACCAGAAAGCCACGGCUAACUACGUGCCAGCAGCCGCGGUAAUACGUAGGUGGCAAGCGUUAUCCGGAUUUAUUGGGCGUAAAGCGAGCGCAGGCGGUUUUUUAAGUCUGAUGUGAAAGCCCUCGGCUUAACCGAGGAAGCGCAUCGGAAACUGGGAAACUUGAGUGCAGAAGAGGACAGUGGAACUCCAUGUGUAGCGGUGAAAUGCGUAGAUAUAUGGAAGAACACCAGUGGCGAAGGCGGCUGUCUGGUCUGUAACUGACGCUGAGGCUCGAAAGCAUGGGUAGCGAACAGGAUUAGAUACCCUGGUAGU